UCGAAAGCGUAACGCUUGUGUUAAACUACAACACGUUGAGGCUGUUAUCACUAUCAGCAUAGUAUUGCAAAGUUUCAAUCAUUGAAUUGUGUGAUUGCAGUGAGCAUGGCGGCAUGAAUGAGUCCGUUCACGCAAACGUUUUCUUUUAUUCUCGAUUUCCUAACCUGUGUUACUAGUCCUGUUAUCCCCAACGUUGUUGCAACAAAGUAGUCAAAUCAAGAAAUAGUUUGGAACAGCUCAUGCACCACGAUCACAUUGGUGCAAGGAGUGGAGAUGAGGCAUGGAUCGUUUCACCCACAUUGGAUUUUUCAAUUUCCUUGCUAAAAAGAAUGUGUGCUACAAGAAGCUUUUGUUCUAAAUGGAUUCAUCAAGUCAACAUUAUCUCACCACUAAGCUACAAUGCCACAGAAGCAAGUCUUACACUUUUCAAGUAGGGUGUGACUGUUGAAGAUAUCUCUGCUUGUGAAGAAUGCAGCGAUGUAGAAAAAGUACUUAAAGAAGUGAACUCAAACAUUCAGUGACAGCAGCAUCUACCUACGUGAACUGCCUUGCACAACAUUUACCUGCAAUUAAAAGCCUACAUGGGAAUUGGCUUUGUUUAUGUUCCACAUCAAGCAGUGUUGAAGAAAAUCCAGUGAGAAGAACGUGAACAAUGGUGUUCAAUUUAAGUUAUUUUUGCCUAUGUGUUCAAUGUUCAACGGAGGAAAUAGAUGUUGUUUGUAAGGUUGAUGUUGACAGCAGCGGAGGAAAUAUUCCUGAUCGUCUAGUUUCUGAUGUCACUCACAUCCUCAGCUUCAUCAUCCUCUCACAUCUUUGACAACAACUCCAACUUUUUUGCCCAUUUUUAGUUCUGUGGCAUUAGAUUUAUGAUAACAAUGAUGGACUGUUUGCAGAAUAAACCAGAAUGUGGCUAAUGGGCCAGCCCAGGAUUCAGUCGAUGGUCGGGCCGACGACUGCGCCUUUGAGCUGAGUCUCUGCCAGCCCACUGGUGAAUAUUUCGAUGUCGUUGAUGAUUGUAGACGCUGGCCAGGAGGACGGUGUUGGUGGAUGAGAUGCGUCGCAACGAUCCCUAAUUCCCCUAAGUCACCCUGAAGACGUGCCAGUUUGCAUGUCCAUCCCGCUCGAAGGUCACGGAGAUCAGUACGCAAAAGUGUCAUGGAGUGGUGUAGAGGUUGGGUGAGAACGACACGUGUUGCAUCGUUUCGUUAUCUAGCGAGUACAUAGCCGCAAGCCAUAACCAUUUGGUAUUCAUUUUGAUAUUGGUUUUUGUAGACCCAUCCCCAGCAACGUCAACUUGCAGAAGGAAAGAACAUUUUCCUUUACGUUCGAAGGUCACGGAGAUCAUUACGAAAAAUGUGUCAUGUGGUGUAGAGGUUGGGUGAGAACGGGGCGUGUCGCAUCAUUAUCAAGCAAGUACAAUAGCCGCAAGGCUUAUGAGGGGAAUGGUGAGAAAAAUUCGUAUAAAAGGAGAGAGAAAAAGGCGAUAGAUAUCAGUCGGGUGAGGAUAUCCGACACGGCAACAAGUGCAGUGCACUCUCUGUGACCAACUGCCUUCUUCAUCGAGUUACCGGUUCGCAAUCAUGUUAACUAUGGCGUCGUGCUGCUGUUGGGUGUUGUAUUGUUGAUGGCUGGGUUCACCACUGGUGUACCGAUGUCUCCUGGGUAUGGCGGAUACCAAACCGCAACGCCGCCGCCUCCUACACAACAUACGCAACAACCGGUACACCACCAAGGCUCCAGAACAACUUAUAAUGCCCCGAGCUACACCAUCAAAGAGCCGGAGUUCAACACCGAGGCUCCCAAGUACUACACCACUAAGGCACCGGAAUACUGCACGACUACGUAUGCUGCCCCUGCCUACUACACCGAGGCCCCUAAUUACUACAACACUGAAGCACCCAAGUACUACACUACAACCUAGGCUGUCCUAAGCUACUACACCAACGCCCCGAAGUACUACUAUGCGUAUAAGGAGUCGUUUAAAAAAGAAAUUAUAGAAAAGGAGAGAGAAAAGGUGGUAGAAAUCAGUCAACUGAGGAUCUCCGACACGGCAACAACUGCAUUACCCUAUCACUGCAUUCCUCAUCGUGUAACCAAUUUGCAAUCAUGGGUACAAUUGCCGUAAGGCUCGAGUUGAAAGGAGAAUCAAGAGAAGGAAAAUCAUAUUAAACGAGAGAGAAAGGGGGAUAGAAAUCAGUCAAAUGAGCAUCUCCGACACGGCAACAAUUGCAGGGUACUAUUUGUCAACAACUGCAUUCCUCAUCGUGUAACCAAAUCGCAGUCAUGGGGAAAUAUCCUGUUUUUUGCAUUGAGUUUUUUAACUAUAGCGUCGUGCUGCUGUUGGGGCGUUGUAUGGCUGGGUCGACCACUGGUGUACCGAUGUCUCCUGGGUAUAGCGGAUACCAAACCGCAACGCCGCCGCCUAACUACACAACAACAACUUUAACGACCAGUUACUACACCGAGGCCCUCAAGUUCUACACCACUAAGGCACCGGAGUAUGAUACCAUAACUUACGCUUCCCUGAGCUACUACACCGAUGCCCCGAAUUAUUACUCUGCUUCGAGCUUCACCACCAAGGCAGCGGAGUACUACAAGACUACGUAUGCUGCCCUAUCUUACUACACCGAGGCUCCCAAGUACUACUGUGAUACCAGCUACUACACCGAGGCUCCAGCUACCACACCGAGGCUCCAGCUACUACACCGAGGCUCCAGCUACUACACCGAGGCUCCAGCUACUACACUACUACACCGAGGCUCCAGCUAAUUUCUCGACCCAAACGGUCGAAUACUGCAUCGAAGUGCCCAAAUAUUACUCUGCCCCGAUCUAAACAGCCACAACUGAGACGGUCAAGCAUUACGCAGCCCAAACUUACUACACAGGUGCUCCUUCCUUCUACGGUGAACAGAAAUACUACACUGAUGCUCCACUUAACUACACCCCAACCUAUGCUACAUCUACGAACAAUACCGAAGCCCCCACGUACUACACAGAAGAAGCAUCAUAUUACACAACCACGUACGCUGUCCCAGUUUAGUUCACAGAGGAACCCAGGUAUUACUCUACUCCAAGCUACUACCAAACUAAGGCUCAUAAGUAUUACACCAGCAACGCUCCCGAGUAUUACACCGCUACCUACGCUGCUCCGACCUAUACUCCGAAGUUGCAAAGUAUUCCUCUGCCCUAAGGUAUUACACUACUAAGGCAUCAAUAUAUUACACCUCAACCUACGCUUCUGCAGCUGAUUACAGGGAGACUUCUGAAUACUAGAGCUGAAUUUUAAUUUGAUUAUUUGUGUCGGGAUUUGUGUUCAGAUUUUUCGGUUAUUUUUUAACAGUUGCUAGUCACAGAUAUUUGAUAGAGGAUGUUUAAUGAGAAAAUAAAUAUUUAUUGCGGGUAA
rnacentral:lncRNA from 1 species